CCUCCCAGUCGGGCUCACGGCGCUGUGUCCCCGAGCCUGGGCGGGAGGCGAGCUCAGAAGUCGUCGGGCCGACCCUGGCGCGGCGCGAUGGGCGCCUCCGCCGCCCCCACAUCUGCCAGAGCGAGAGUCGGUUAGCUUUGGGGGGACUUGGCCAGCCUUCUGGGCCAGACCUUAGCCCCGUGCAACCUCUUGACAAAGGCGUGGGAGAUGAGAAUGUCCGUUGGGGAACUGGGAUGCUCUGGUGCGCUCCGGAGAGGUCUGCUUUCCAGUAACCACACGGCCGUGCAUUGGCAUGACUUUGUAUCGCAUCUCUGUGGCUAUUUUUGUUCGCUGUUGUACCGUUCAUCCGUUUUUGCGAAGUGCUUUCCAGAGAAGGUCAUUUGGUCUUCCUCCCUGUGAAGUCGGGAGGUGGGGUGGUUUUGGAGGGAAAGGACCUCAGUGCCUUGAUGUGUCCAAUGGGGAUAAUGGUAACGACAGACACGCCUAUCUCAGCGUGCUCCUGGCUGGGGAGGACAUCACCGGGCCUCCUCCCCAGCCCGGCAGCGACCAGUUCAGCCCAGCCUCCCUCCCUGUCCCUGGAAAUGAGCUGCAGGGGGCUACUGCAUGGGGAAAAAGUGACUUUCCCUUACUGCAGCCAUGAGACAGGUGAGGAGAGGCAUUUCCCAGAGCUCAAGGCAGAAAGAGGAGGCAGGAGGGACCUCAGAUCACACAGCCACGGGCUCUUCAUCCACCUUUCUUUAACUGGGAUUUGCGUCACCCCUUUCUGUCACUUCUCCCACAGCUCCCCUCUUGUUCUGUCCCACACCUAUCUUAUUUUGUAGUUGUAAGCUGUUUAUAAGCACGAUCGUAUACACUUUUUUAAAAUUUCAUUCACUUAACAGCCCUGUGAAGUGCUAUCAGCCCAUUUUAUAGGUGGAGAAACAGACUCAAGAGAGCUAAGUACUUGGCCCAGCAAUAAGGAGCCAGAAUGAAACUCAGGUUUUUUGACUUGGCGGUACUUUUAAUGUCGACUCCGUCAUCCAGCCCUGCAUGGUGGGAGUAUCAGAGACGAAGGAGGACCGUGUCGUCAGAGGGGUUGAGCUCUUUGUUUGGGUUCCGUGAAAGACAGAAUGGGCUGAACUGGAACUGACCUACAUGUCCGCCAAAGGAGUCGUCCGGCAUGCUCUGCCCACCGCACGCCGAGGUGCCCUGACCAUGAGCCUCGACUCCUCCCUCGGCCACGGGAAGGAGCUGAGUAACCUCACAGAGGAGGAGGGUGGCCAAGAGGGGGUCGUCGUCACCAGCUUCGUCGCCAUCAUCAUCAUCACCGUGUUCGUCUGCCUGGGCAACCUGGUCGUCGUGGUCACCUUGUACAAGAAGUCCUACCUCCUCACCCUCAGCAACAAGUUCGUCUUCAGCCUGACCCUGUCCAACUUCCUGCUGUCCGUGCUGGUGCUGCCUUUCGUGGCCACCAGCUCCAUCCGGAGGGAAUGGAUCUUCGGCGUGGUCUGGUGCAACUUCUCGGCCCUUCUGUACCUGCUGAUCAGCUCGGCCAGCAUGCUCACGCUGGGGGUCAUAGCUGUCGACCGCUACUAUGCUGUCCUGUACCCCAUGGUGUACCCCAUGAAGAUCACGGGGAACCGCGCCGUGAUGGCGCUCGUCUACAUAUGGCUUCACUCCCUCAUCGGCUGCCUGCCGCCUCUCUUUGGUUGGUCGUCGGUGGAGUUUGACGAGUUCAAGUGGAUGUGUGUGGCUGCGUGGCACCGGGAGCCCGGCUAUACCGCCUUCUGGCAGAUCUGGUGUGCCCUCUUCCCCUUUCUGGUCAUGCUGGUGUGCUAUGGCUUUAUCUUCCGCGUGGCCAGGGUCAAGGCGCGCAAGGUGCACUGUGGCACCGUGGUCAUCGUGGAGGAGGACCCCCAGAGGGAUGGGAGGAAGAACUCCAGCACCUCCACCUCCUCCUCCGGCAGUAGGAGGAACGCCUUUCAGGGCGUGGUCUAUUCGGCCAACCAGUGCAAAGCCCUCAUCACCAUCCUGGUGGUCGUCGGUGCCUUCAUGGUCACCUGGGGCCCCUACAUGGUUGUCAUCACCUCUGAGGCCCUCUGGGGGAAGAACUACGUCUCCCCGACCCUAGAGACCUGGGCCACGUGGCUGUCCUUUACCAGUGCCAUCUGCCACCCCCUGAUCUAUGGGCUCUGGAACAAGACGGUUCGCAAGGAGCUGCUGGGCAUGUGCUUUGGGGAUCGGUAUUACCGGGAGCCGUUCGUGCAGCGGCAGAGGACUUCCAGGCUCUUCAGCAUUUCCAACAGGAUCACAGACCUGGGCCUGUCCCCACACCUCACGGCGCUCAUGGCAGGCGGACAGCCCCUGGGGAACAGCAGCAGCACCGGGGACACCGGCUUCAGCUGCUCCCAGGACUCAGGGACAGAUGUGAUGCUGCUCGAGGACUACACGUCGGAUGACAACCCUCCCUCCCACUGUACUUGCCCCCCCAAGAGGAGGAGCUCGGUGACAUUUGAGGAUGAAGUGGAACAGAUGAAAGAUGCUGCCAGGAACCCUAUUUUGCACGUGAAAGCCGAAGUGCACGAGUCCCUGGACAGUUACGCAGCCAGCUUGGCCAGAGUCAUCGAGGCCGAAGCCAAAAUCAACCUGUUCGGGGAGGAGGCUUUGCCAGGGGUCCUGGCGGCCGCGCGGACCGUCCCGGGGGCCGGCUUCGGGGGCCGCCGAGGCAGCAGGACUCCGGCGAGUCAGAGGCUGCAGCUGCAGAGCAUCGAAGAAGGGAACGUUUUGGCUGCGGAACAGAGAUGAGAGCCCGGGGUGGACCGUCUGUCCCGCGGGGUCGCCCGGGGACAGAACACCUGAGGUGUGGCCAGCAGGAAACACCGAACGGCGUGUCUCGUGAGGCCGCGCGUGGGCUCCUUGGAGGUCCCGGCGUUGGGACCAGCGGCGUCUGAGGCACGAAGGAAAGCGGGCGGAGGUGUGGCCAGGACUUUCCAGGAGGUGGGGCGUAGAAGGGACUAGAGACCGGGGCUGGGAAGGAGACCACCAGGUGGCUGACUCCCUCUUCGUGACCCGGGCGCCCGGCAGGGAUCUCAGACGGUGAGCCCUUCCCAGCGCGCUUCGGGGGACAGCACGUCCUAACCACGCGAGACCAGCCCCCGGCGUCUGCGUGGUUGAUGCGGCCCCCGUGGGACUAGGGUUCUGCACUGAAUGGUCCCCAGAGGAGACCCUGGAGCAGGGCCGGUCAGAUGGGAGUUCCCACACUUCCAUCCCGGUUGUGACCUUGCAGCCCGCAUGGAGCCACCUGCUGGUGCCAGUAGGGACGAUCCACAGGCCACCCCCCUCCGCCCCGGGGCUGAAGCAGCAGGCCUGAGGCUGCUGUUGCUGAGAAUGGGGGCCGUUCUGCCUGCCUCUCUAUUGACUGACUCUUUCAAAAGAAGGGAAAAACCACUGUCAAAGCCACGAGGAAGGAGCAGGGCGAGAGCUAGAUGUUGAAGUCUACCUGAAGUUGCUGAGCCAGCAGAAGAGUUACUUUUCUUCCGUCCAAAAAGCCAGUCUGCCUUCUCUUGGUCGGUGUCCCUGGGCUUCCCGCCAUCUUCUGCUGCCAGGCGAAGGGGCGAUGCCUGGUCGCCGCGAGGGGGAGGGUGCUUCGCCCGCUACACCCGUGAGUCCAUUCGUGGCCCAGCCGGAGGAAGCGGCACGAAGGGGAGAGGAGGGAGGAGGACAGCAGGGUGGCCUCUGCAGGGGUGGUUUCGGCUCAGAAGGUGCAGGCCUGGGUGGGGACGGCCUGAGGGGGGUGCAGUUGGACACCAGAGUUGAGGGGGACCCAGAAUUACAAGACUGGACGGUCGACAGCUCGUGGCUGAAACCGAGAAGUUGGAGAGGGGAAGCCGGGGGGCCAGCGCUUUCGGGACGAGCUUGCGCUGGUCCGUCACGUGAGCUACCCGUGAUGCUCUGGGCCUGUUGCCGGCAGCCUAACGCCUGUACUUGGGUGGAGAGGGAUCACGAACCAUGAAAGAUGGAGAUUAGAGGUGAAGGUAGCGUGCUCUGGAAGGAGAAAUGAGAAAAGCUCCUCUAUGUGAUUCUAGCACACAGAAGUCACAACAGAAAAGGUUAUCAGAUCUAGAAAAGAAUAGAGAAAGAGCCUUAUGUUAUAGAGAAGACUGGAGAAUGUGGGUCGGGGUAGCAAGGCAUUCAAUGAAAAGUCAAAUCCAGGACAUCUUAAAACAACCAACUUCUUUUAUUAGAAAGCAACAAACAUGCAAAUGGCAAGUGUAGAAAUUUAUCUGAACCAACAUUUUCACUAUAAUGAAAAUUACUCUCCACGUUGACCCAAGCUCUCCUAUCCGAAGGUUAGGGAAAAUAUUGCACUUUGCAUUUUCUAGCACUCCUCAUACAUGGCAAAAAGUUUUAAAAACAUUUUGCUAGUUUUGUUUUACACGCUCUCCCAAAUUCAUGCACACAGUCAUUCCAAACCAAUGUCAGGUUAUCCCCCAAAAAGGGAGAAACUCCAAAACACCAUAACCUUAGAAUUGCACUAAAGCUCCGUAAAGAGAAAAUAUAAUCAAUGUCUUAUACAAAUUUCAGACCAUCUAAGUGCUUGCCAAUAAGAGCUGGUUAUUCCUCAUCCUCAUUUUCAUUCUCCUGACCAGAACCUUCUGAUCGGUCACCCUCCAGCCGGUCUGGAAAACACACAGAGGAGACGCACAAAAAGAAACACUUUUAGAAUUACGAUUAAGAUAAUAUACAAUACCUUCUAUUUAAAACCGAUGAAAAUGUAUACAUACGAACAUAUCAUCGUGUAAACCUCAGUUCACCUCCGUGUGUACGGAAGCUAUUUUUUGCCGCUAGAAGCAAAUAAGAGAGUCCGGGAAACAGCACUAUACCUUAGAAUAUGCAUGUAAUUCUAACCGUAAUACAAAUUAAAAAGAAAAACCCUAAGGAUCCGGAUAUAUCCCGGUCUACUGUGGGGUUUUUCAGAUCGUAUUCCUUGGAGUCCAGGAGCCUAAGGAGGUGUCUCGUGACACCAGUAGACCGAGGGGGGCUGUGGGGGAACCCGGGGAACAUUCCUAAGGAUCUGUGUAUUCUGUUGAUAAAAAAAAAUUUUUUCAGUUAAAUAUCUGCUAUGUUCCAGGCGUCGUGCUAAGGAUACAAUGGUGACCAAAACAGACCCGCGGUCUCUGCCCUCGAGGGAAUACGGGAUGGUGAACUGGCGCGUGACACGGCCCGCUGUCCCCGACCGUCACGGUUUGCGCGUCUUGCUCCUCUGCUUGGGACCCUCGCCCCGUCCUGCAGCCGUAAAGCUUCUGCGCACCCACUCAGUGCGACCGUUAUGCCGUGUGAAAUGUUUCUGGGACUUUUCCAAACCCCCACUUGCAGAAUGAGGAACUCCUUCCUCCACAUUCCAGACUAUCCCGUGUGUCCCGUAUAAAGAUGACCUAACUGCGGAGACCGGUCGUGUGUGUCUUCUUACUAGACUUGAAGGGCUCUGAGCUCCUGGGAGGGUAGGAACUUUUUCUUUUUUCUUCUGUCCUCAGAGCCUGGAACAGCAGUCCAUGCAUAUAGGUUUUACUAGGAUAUGUUACGUUAGGUUAUGUGAAGAAGGCCACUUUAAAAGCCCCUGUCACCACUAGCAUGGAGCCCAUUCUGUCACAGGAACACUCCCCCCAGGGCAGCGUGGAAAACACGGAGAUCAGACAUGGGGGAGAAGUUCAGUCCCGGCUGUCAACAGCAAGAAGACUGAAGCCUGAGCUUUUACUUAGGACCUCCGGAGGCGUGAACUCUCCCACUGGGUCACUGGGUCCUAGGUCAGCACCACCAAGAGCAGUGUACAGAGGGACUGUGUGUUUUCUGUCCAAGUGAAUGAAACUAAAUCCCCUCUAUGCUGACUCCAUUUUGAAAUCAAACUAAUGAGAUGAUGUAUAUGAUCUAUAAUCUGAACUACACAAGUUUUAGCUAUUAUUAUUAUUAUAUAGUACGUGUUCCAUACACAUUUGCAAAAUAAAUGAACCAAAAUAAGGUUUGGAUUGACCUUCAUGUAUCAACCACUAAGGAAUCCAAGCACAGUGGAAGAAUUUCUGGUCAGCACUAACGAAUGUUAGUAUAAAAGAGAUUACAAUCUUUAUAUUGUGAUACACUUUCACGAGGGAGCGAAACACGAAGUCACUAUCUGCCUCAGUAGAGUGCCGUGAGUGGGAAUCCCGGACACGGCUGACUAUAUUCAACAAACCUAUUCCUGUCCCACUGGAAGCACGAGGAAGGAGUGUCCGCCGGUUUCAAAGUGCGCCGGUUCUUACCCACAUUCUUUCGCUCGUCACACUAUGCGUGAAGAUGGGGAAACGGCGGGUCAACAAGAAUUGUCACAGUCUUUAACUCCGGGAGUUUACGGUAGACAACAGACUUCUGCAGAGUCCAGAGCAAGCCGCAGAGUCAAGCGAGGGCCAGGAGUGUCUAGCAUAGGCCAGCGAGUGACUGACCGUGGCUCCCGGAAUGAGAAGAGGGCAGAACGGUGGUUCUUUUUUCAAGUCCAUCACAGUCACUGCAGAGUCCUCUCUCAGAACAUAAGCCCAAUUUCUAAGAAUAAAGGAAACCUUCUGUUCGUGAAGUCCCACCUCUCCGAGGCAGGGAAACUGCACCGCGGCUCAAUGUUUACACCGACCUCUGGUUGGCAGUUAUAGACCGGGGAGGCCUGACAAACCCUGUUCCUUGAAAUGAAAACUGAAAGUAAGAAUCGCUUCUAAAUCCACUGUUUUUAAACGCAGACAAUACUGUGAUAGGAAAAGGCAGGAUAAAACGGCGGAGAGGGACAGGUUAGGUAGGACCCGGAGGCUCUGGGCGGGGAGGACCGCGUGUUUCGGAACAGCGCUGGGAGUGUCUGACUACAGCCAACCCCCACAGGCACAAACAAGGUCCCUCUUAGGAAUGUAACAAACGCCAUCCGCUCCCCCUCAGGGCCCCCUCAGGAAUUUGACAAUCAAAACACCUAACUAGAAAAGCAAACCAUAAAACGUGUGUGACAGGAGGGACAGUAUGACUCCUCGUACAAUGGAACCGAGUCAACCAGGAACGGACGACCCAGCACCUAGAGCCGUCCAGCCAGUAAGGGCAGGACCUGAGAAGGAACAAGGGGGCGGGGAAGGGAGAGGCGACCAGAAUCUUCCAGACAAAGGCCCUUGCCUACAGUCGCGGGCAUUCGCUGUCAAACGUGCCCUGUCAAGAGAGCUUCCAUGCUCUUCUCCCUUCCUGCCCUUACACUCCGUAAACUUUGGCCUGCUGCUCCUUUUGUGUCGCCUCUAAGUUCUUCGAAGCGGCGAGACAAGGAACCCUGGGUACUGAGAUGUGCUCCACACUCUUUCUCCUCCAGGACUUCGAAAAAUGCUACAUACCCUUUACUUUGCCUGGAAUAUUUGUCCCUACUCUCUCUGAGGAAGUGAUAUUUAAUCCACCGCUUACAAAGACCUGAAGGAUAAGCAAAAUGAUCCUAACGAAGAAUGAGGAUGUAAGGGGGACAACAUGAUGAUAAAGAUCCUGAGGUGGAAAAGAGUUUGACAUGCCCCCAAAUUCAAAAAGGGCCAGAGUGGAUGGAAUGGACACAGAAGGAGAAAAUACUGUGAAUGAGCCUGUAAAGAAGCUUGAGAUCAGAUCACCCGGGUGGCUGCGUGUCAUAUUUCUGAUCUGAACGUAUUCCUACAAGUGAACUUUCUAGGUCAAAGGGGAGUAAGGGCGUGGAACUCAGUUUCACACCUAGGCUUCACCAUUCAUCAGCUGUAUGAGCUGGGGCGAGCUAUUACGAAUAAAUAACCGACUUUCUAGAGGGUUGGAGCUCAUUGGGAAACAUCUGUGAAAUGACUAGCGUGGUGCCUGACACAUUACAGGUACUCUAGAAACGAUGGCCGCUGUUACUAUUAAGUAAUAGGUAAUACCCAACAUAUGAAGACAUUUAAUUUGUGAAAUCAGUGAAGAACAACAAACCUGUCUCGUUUGAUAAAUGUACUUUGUUUACAAUGGACACUGGAUCUUUUCUACUGUUAUGAACACUGAUUAUAUUCACUUCCUUCUUGAAUAUUAAUUGUAAUGUAUACGAUUUUGUGUUUCUUUGGCACCGAACCUCACGGUUUAUCAUCGAAAACAAAAAGUAUUUAAAAACCCA